CAGAUGUACUAAAAGAAAGGCUUCCUGGGAUUUCUGAAACUGCUGCCAUUUUUGCUGGUGUGGAUGUUACGAAGGAACCCAUCCCUGUCUUACCUACUGUGCAUUACAAUAUGGGUGGAAUUCCCACAAAUUACCAUGGAGAGGUGGUCACCGUUAAAGGCAAUGAUCCUGAUGCUGUAGUUCCUGGAUUGAUGGCUGCUGG
rnacentral:misc_RNA from 1 species